rnacentral:rRNA from 1 species
CCUACGGGAGGCUGCAGUGGGGAAUAUUGCACAAUGGGGGAAACCCUGAUGCAGCGACGCCGCGUGAGCGAAGAAGUCUUUCGGUAUGUAAAGCUCUAUCAGCCGGGAAGAAAAUGACGGUCCCUGACUAAGACGCUCCGGCUAAAUACGUGCCAGCCGCCUCGGUAAUACGUAUGGACCAAGCGUUAUCCGGAUUUACUGGGUGUAACGGGAGCGUAGGCGGUAAGGCAAGUCGUAUGGAAAAGGCCAGGGCUCAACCCUGGGACGGCAUUGGAAACUGUUUAACUGGAGUGUGGGUGAGGCAAGUGGAAUGCCUAGUGUAGCGGUGAAAUGCGUAGAUAUUAGGAGGAACACCAGUGGCGAAGGCAGCUUGCUGGACGAUGACUGACGCUGAGGCUCGAAAGCGUGGGUAGCAAACAGGAUUAGAUACCCGUGUAGUC